AGACGGCGCCCAACCUUCCUCUGCAGCGCCCCUACCGACCCGCGCUCCGCAGCUCCUGAGGGCUUUCGAGCCCAGAUGGUCAUCUGAGACGAGAGGUGGCGGCGAAGGAGAGUCUCGCCUGUCACGCUCCCGGAGCAGGGGCUUCAUGAGGUGGCCAUGGAAACAGCCUGGCAGACUCCCAUCUCUCCUGGUGCCAUCUCCGGAGCGGAAAGUGGAGCGCCCCGCUGGCGACCAAGGCCGCACUGAGAGCCCUGGUUUGGUCAACAGUUGGGCUCCAAGGAGCCCUGGUAUUCCUUGAACAUGCAUACCUUUCCCAGCGUGAGGGACAUGGACCGUGCCGUGCGAGGGACCCCAUCUUCUGCAGCAGGAGGGAGCAGAGAAGAGAACACAGCCACCCUCAUCAGCCAGAGUUCAAACCCUGACAGUGCCCAUGGAGAGAUCUGGUCCAAGGCACCAACCUCUUCCUGCUGGACUGAGAAAGAGCCUCCUACUGUGUCUCUCUUUACCUCAGCUUUUGCACACCUCCAAUAUAUUGUCCACUGAAGUCAGAAUAAUCUAAAAAUAAAGGCUGAUUACCUCAUGUGGUAUAAACUUA
rnacentral:lncRNA from 1 species